rnacentral:rRNA from 1 species
AGUGAACGCUGGCGGUAGGCCUAACACAUGCAAGUCGAACGGCAGCACAGUAAGAGCUUGCUCUUCCGGGUGGCGAGUGGCGGACGGGUGAGGAAUACAUCGGAAUCUACUUUUUCGUGGGGGAUAACGUAGGGAAACUUACGCUAAUACCGCAUACGACCUACGGGUGAAAGCAUGGGAUCUUCGGACCUUGCGCGACUGAAUGAGCCGAGGUCGGAUUAGCUAGUUGGCGGGGUAAAGGCCCACCAAGGCGACGAUCCGUAGCUGGUCUGAGAGGAUGAGCAGCCACCCUGGAUCUGAGACACGGUCCAGACUCCUACGGUAGGCAGCAGUGGGGAAUAUUGGACAAUGGGCGCAAGCCUGAUCCAGCCAUACCGCGUGGGUGAAGAAGGCCUUCGGGUUGUAAAUCCCUUUUGUUGUGAAAGAAAAGCAGCAGGUUAAUACCCCGCUGUUCUGACGGUACCCAAAGAAUAAGCACCGGCUAACUUCGUG